UACGUAGGCAGCGAGCGUUGUUCGGAAUUACUGGGCGUAAAGGGCUCGUAGGCGGCCAACUAAGUCAGACGUGAAAUCCCUCGGCUUAACCGGGGAACUGCGUCUGAUACUGGAUGGCUUGAGUUUGGGAGAGGGAUGCGGAAUUCCAGGUGUAGCGGUGAAAUGCGUAGAUAUCUGGAGGAACACCGGUGGCGAAGGCGGCAUCCUGGACCAACACUGACGCUGAGUGAGCGAAAGCCAGGGGAGCAAACGGG
rnacentral:rRNA from 1 species